UACGUAGGUGGCAAGCGUUGUCCGGAAUUACUGGGCGUAAAGCGCGCGCAGGCGGUCCUUUAAGUAUGAUGUGAAAGCCCACGGCUCAACCGUGGAGGGUCAUUGGAAACUGGGGGACUUGAGUGCAGAAGAGGAGAGCGGAAUUCCACGUGUAGCGGUGAAAUGCGUAGAGAUGUGGAGGAACACCAGUGGCGAAGGCGGCUUUCUGGUCUGUAACUGACGCUGAGGCGCGAAAGCGUGGGGAGCAAACAGG
rnacentral:rRNA from 1 species